rnacentral:rRNA from 1 species
UUUUCCCGUGGGACCUUAGCAUAUCAAUAAGCGGAGGAAAAGAAACCAACAGGGAUUACCUCAGUAACGGCGAGUGAAGCGGUAAUAGCUCAAAUUUGAAAUCUGGCUUCGGUCCGAGUUGUAAUUUGUAGAAGAUGCUUCAGGUGUGGCUCCGGUCUAAGUUCCUUGGAACAGGACGUCAUAGAGGGUGAGAAUCCCGUAUGUGACUGGGUGCCUUCGCCUAUGUGAAGCUCUUUCGACGAGUCGAGUUGUUUGGGAAUGCAGCUCAAAAUGGGUGGUAUAUUUCAUCUAAAGCUAAAUAUUGGCCAGAGACCGAUAGCGCACAAGUAGAGUGAUCGAAAGAUGAAAAGCACUUUGGAAAGAGAGUUAAACAGUACGUGAAAUUGUUGAAAGGGAAGCGUUUGCAAUCAGACUUGCACGUUGCCGAUCAUCUGGUGUUCUCACCAGUGCACUCGGUUUCGUUCAGGCCAGCAUCGGUUUAGGUGGUUGGAUAAAGGCCUUGGGAAUGUAGCUUCUUUCGGGGAGUGUUAUAGCCCUCGGUGCAAUGCAGCCUACCUGGACCGAGGACCGCGCUUCGGCUAGGAUGCUGGCGUAAUGAUUGUAAACGACCCGUCUUGAAACACGGACCAAGGAGUCUAACAUCUAUGCGAGUAUUUGGGUGUUAAACCCAUAUGCGUAAUUAACGUGAACGGAGGUAAGAGCCCUUAAGGGUGCAUUAUCGACCGGUCCUGAUGUCUUCGGAAGGAUCUGAGUAAGAGCAUAGCUGUUGGGACCCGAAAGAUGGUGAACUAUGCCUGAAUAGGGUGAAGCCAGAGGAAACUCUGGUGGAGGCUCGCAGCGGUUCUGACGUGCAAAUCGAUCGUCAAAUUUGGGUAUAGGGGCGAAAGACUAAUCGAACCAUCUAGUAGCUGGUUCCUGCCGAAGUCUCUCCCCCUCAG